rnacentral:rRNA from 1 species
UACGUAUGGAGCAAGCGUUAUCCGGAUUUACUGGGUGUAAAGGGAGCGCAGGCGGCUUUGCAAGUCUGAUGUGAAAGGCCGGGGCUCAACCCCGGGACUGCAUUGGAAACUGUAAAGCUAGAGUGCCGGAGAGGUAAGCGGAAUUCCUAGUGUAGCGGUGAAAUGCGUAGAUAUUAGGAGGAACACCAGUGGCGAAGGCGGCUUACUGGACGGCAACUGACGCUGAGGCUCGAAAGCGUGGGGAGUAAACAGG